CUUCCAUUGUUUUUACCACUGCAUUUAAAUGUGGAGCUUUACUGUGAUGUUCCAUUUGUUUUUUAAUUGGCUUUAUUAUCUGUUGUGUAGGACUUAAUCAAUUCUAUUGGAUGCUAUCUGCAGGUGCCUACGGUGACAAAAUUUAUCACAUAUGCUCUGACGGAGCCUGUGGCUGAUGAAGUGGUCUUGUUACUGAACUGAUGAUAGCUGAUCACCGUUACCUUGCAUGUGUUCUGUCAGUGUCCUAGUAAUAUAACUAAAUACCCAGCAGAUGUGCAUUUGCACCUUAAGGUGAAUAAGGAUACAGAGCCGGAAAGAGCCCAUGAAUUGGAGAGUUCAGUUCAGCUGCCUUUGCAUGGUAGUUUACAUCUGCCAAAGCCACCAUGGGACCUGAGCUAACACAUGGAUGGCAUGAAAAGAUAUUGGGCUGCUAUACCUGGAGGCAGGAGCAAGAACUGGGAUUCAGAAUUGACCAGGCAGGAAGCAAAACAGGAGGAGUCAUCUUUGAUGGAAGCAGAAAUCAAGAACUCAAUCCAUGGCAUAUAACUCCACCAUUUGUAGUUUCUUAGAGAGAAAGUACUUUGCUAUCUAUAUGUGAAGUUUUCAGAACAACAGCCUGUUACCCUAGCCAUACUUCUACUUGAAGCACCGGAAUUUCUUCUUCUGGCUGCAGCUGCAUUACACACCCACCUCAACAUGCCAGGAGGAGAAAAAAUUUCCAAUCAUUCUGCACCAGUGGAGUCUGGCAUGAACUGCUGAGAAAAAGGAGGAUAAAUGCCAUCAGAAAAAAAGGCAGAGAAUUUUAAAUAGUGCCACACCACAGAAGGUGCAUCCAGCAGUGUGGAGUAUGGGAAGAGAUAGAUGACGUUACUGGGAACUUUGGAUUCAGGCAGCAAACUUCAUUACCUACACUACGACUGGGGUCAGCGUGAGGUUCUGAUCUGGGAGAAAAUAUUGCUGUGUACAGCUGUUUGUCACUGCUCUGUCUCUGCCCUGGAAAGCAGAAUGCCAGGCUUCUGAAAUGGACAGUUUCAUCACAUCUCCUAAAUAGUAACAUAUCCAAAGUGAUGAGCUUUUUCGAAGGCUUCCUACAGAAGAAUCCACUUUGCCUUGUUCAUUCUUUUUGGUGUAAAUAUGAUGCUUUCCUCACUGCCAAAAAGCAUGAAUAACAGCUGGAAAUGCUGGGACCAAAGAACAGAUAACUUUGAGGAAGCAUAAAAUGUUUUAAUUCUUCUGGUUGAGAUAUAAAAAAAAAGAUUCCCUAGGUGGGUAUUUUUCCUUGUUAACUCGUUUAUAAGAUAACUGAAGCUACAGGUGUUCAGCUUUAAUAAGGCAUUAGUGAACAAUUAUAUAAGACACUAAAAAUAAAGCUGGAGUCUUUGCAUGAAUGAAAUGAACAGUGAGUGAAAAAAUACUUAACAGCCAAGUUUCACAAUCAAAGAAGAGAUAAGAUUUUUAGGAAGUAGAUUGUUAAAUAAAACCUUUAAUACAUAUAUAAAGGACGUUGAAAGAAGGAAGGACUAUGUAUUUUUAUGUGCAAGAUAUGAAAAGACACCAGUAAUAUAUAAAAGAAUAACUGGUACUAACACUACUGAUAAAAUCAUUUUGUGCUUGGAUGAAAAUGUUCUUUAAAAUAUUGCUCUAAAAUAGUGCAGAGCCAGCUUUCUGCUAACAGAGAAUGUUGUAUUCUCUUGAUUUAUGAAAUCUCAUUUCAAUUGCAAACCACUGGCUCUUCUGUGUUUGUGCCUGAGCACUGUAUAAUUCUGCAGACAGCUCAACCAGCAGCAUUGCUAAGAGAAAGAGGAAAUUAGAUGUAUUAAAUAUGAAGAACCAGUGACAUUCAAAUAACAGUUUUGCUCUUGUAUUUCUCAUUUGUUAGAAGGCAGUUCCUAAUAAAAAUUCUAACAUGACUUAGCCUUGGAAACAAUGAUCUGUUUUAUUAACCUCAACAGAACAAAUUUAGGACAGAGUUUCUGACACUUUCGUAAUUAUAAGAAGAUAUGUGAUAAAGUGCUUGGCUCCCAUUUGUCUUCAUCUCAAUUUACCUUUUUGCUCUUCAUAGUUCUAUCAGACUCCCUCUCAACUUCAGGUUUAAUAAGACAUGGUAAAUUGGAUCAACGUUCAUCUCUUAUGAAAUGCCUUUUAGAAUUUGUUUUGUAGUUAUAUGAAGUUAAGACACAGGAAGGUGGGAUCUUUAGUGGUGUUUGGUGUCAUAGAAGUGCAAUCUUUCUACCUUUUCUGCAACUUGUACUUGUAAGCCACUAAAUGUUUGUAAAGUCAUCUGUAAAUAGCAUAUGUAAGAUCACAUAAGGUGCUAUACUUCAGUAAUUUAUUCAUAGGAAUGUAGUUAGGUAAAGAAGUGAGUUCAAAGUGGCUUACCGCUUAUCUAUGUGAUGCUCUCAGGCAAAGUUAAGGACUGUGUAACAGAGGCAUGAAUUGUACAAGAUGACUUCAAUAUAUGCACAUGGCUUUGAAAAUGCAAGAAUGAGUCAUUGUAAUGAGUCAGUGCACAUCAUUGUCCAGGGAUGUGAAUAUAGUCUGCAGCUGUGAAAAUACCUCUGCAGUGCUGCUCACAAUAGGGCUUUCUGAUAAUUAAAGAAUUGAAGGCAUUGCAGUUUAAGUUGAUUGAAAAAUCACGGCAUUUUCUACAUUUCUUAGCCAUUUCCUACCAAUAUAGAAGAAAAAAAAUGGUUGAUCUUACCUUUGUAAUCUAUGGGAACUACUGGUAUUGGACUUAAUAUCUGUCUAUUCCUACAAUGGAUGCAAGGCAUUGUCCAAAAGUUACAGUUAUUAAUUGCGAUAAAUGGUAGUAAAUUUUGACGUUUUACUUCUGUUUAAGCUAGCCUUGCCAUGUGUUUCGAUGCAGGCUUAUAUUUAUAUCUCUCUACCUGUAUUAAUGUACAUGUAAGCAGACAUACUAUGUACGUGUGUGUACACGCACACAGACAGAAGUUUCUCUUCCUGAUUUUGCAGGAGGUGCAUCUACCUCUUUUUAAUACCAGAGACUGUACUGUAAUAAAGCCUUUUUUCUUAAAAAAAAAAAAAAAAAAUCAAGACUGGAAUUGGGCCAUUGUUUUUUAUGUAAGUAUCUUCUUUCAGAGACAGUCAAAAUUACGAAUAUUUGGUGCCUGUACUUGUCUUCUUUUGAGCAGGUAGGAAUAACGUUGUUUUCCUUAAAAGCUGGUUGGGUUUUUUGUUCUUCCUGGGUAAUUUCUUAACUUAGCAAGCUAAAGUUUCAGAAUUGAAACAGGAAAUAUGACUUUAAGCUAUUCACUGAAAUUCUCUGAAUUAAUGCUAUUUGCAGAUAUGCAGUUUCAUUACAUAAACAGAUAUUUAUAUAUAUAUAUAUAUAUAUAAUUUCUUUUUCCUAUACCAUCCUGUAAGCUUAUUAAAAUCUUGGAUAUUUUCUAGGGUUAUUAAUGUCUUGGUAUUACUACCUGUAAGUCAUAGCCACACUGAGAAAAUUCAAGCAGUUUGAAAUAAGUGUGAGAACCUGGAGGUAGUGUUAGGUACGCGGGUAUUUUUAAAAUAUAAGUGUAGUUUUGAUGAACAUCUAGAAUAAUUACAUUAUACAGGGAAGAGAAAAGCAAUGUUGAUGGUCAAUUUGUUGUAAUCUGCUCCCCUUCUGGAAAACCCAGAAUUCUGUGGAAUUCAGUUUUAUAUUGCGUGGGUUUUAUUUGUUCCUUCAUUAAUGUAAAAUCUCAACUGUCUCUGCAUGGGAGAAGGUGUUUAAAUCCACAAUCUUCAUUGAGAAAUUGAAAUUGGAGUUGUGUUUGGCCAAUUUAUACUUAAAUGUAUCUUGCCAUGGGGUGUUAUUGCUCUAAUAUGUAUUCCUUUUUGGUUUUCCUUUCAGUUUUUCAUCAGGUUUGUAUCUAUUAAAUUAUUUAUAUUAUAAGAUUUGUAUUAAAUACAUGCAAUUUGUGGUGUGACUAUAGUAACUAUUCUGACAGAUCUUUAUAUUUUGGAAUUCCCUACUUCUGUAUCUGUGCUUAUUGCAAUUAGACCUUUCUGCAGCUAAUGAAACAUAUGUGAUUUGUUUGUUUAUGCCCGAGGACUGAAUUUGUUGCUGAAUAAUGCAAAAACAUAUGCAAGGAGAAGUGUAGUAAAUGGAAUUAGGAAUGUGUGCAUAGAGGAUAUGUGAGCAAAGUCAAUUGAAAGAGAUGUUAAAGCUUUGGCUCUGGCUCUACUUGCUCAGUGAAGGUGGAAACAGGUUUAUGUUAAUACUUGUGUGUCUGUGCCAGAGUGGCAAGUCACCAGCGGCUGCACAAGAAUGGCUGGUGUUUCACAAAAAAUUAGUAACUCAUACAGAUUUUUACCUUAAAGAGAAUUAAAAGAAGCAAUCUGAAUGACUCAGAUGCCAAUGAGCUAUUUGGCAAGAUACAAACAUUUGCUUUCCUGUGUCCUGGUUUGGCUGGGAUAGAGUUGUUGUUUUCUUUUUUCUAGUAGCUGCUGUAGUGCUGUGUUUUGGAUUUAGUAGAAGAUGAAUGUUGAUAAUACACUGAUAUUUUGAUUGUUGCUGGAUAGUCAAGAACUUUUCAGAUUCUCAUGCUCUGUUGGGUGCACAAGAACCUGGGAGGGAGCAAAGCCAGGACAAACAUGAGGGUUUUUUUACCUUUAAAUUCUCUCCCCCCUCCCAUUGGGUGGGGAGUGAACGAGUGAGUGGCUGUGUGGUCCUGGUGGUUGGCUGGGGUUAAAUGAUACCAUUCUGCCCUGUGCUCUGCUGGCAGAUCCUGAGCAGAUUAGUCUCUUUAUACAGGUAUCUAGAAGAGAAAGCAAAUGAACAUCCACAUUUCACUUUCAUGUGUUUUGAUAUCUGAAACAGGCCAACAGCAUAAACAUUUUGCUAAGACCUGUUCUGUGAAAUUUCAAGGAAGCUUCUAGUUUACGAAAAAGUGAAUAUAUUUCUACCCAGGAUCAACAAUUUGAAUUUCUUUCCCUGACACAUUUAAUCAUUACUAGUCCACAUGUAAUAGUAGUAAUCUUAUUUUUUAAAACCUGGUAUUUUUCAAGCAGUACAGAUAAGAUGAGGGGAAAUCCAGUUUGUUUAAUUAAAAGGUAUCAAAAUGCUGCUAACUUAUGUUAGUGGAUUAGAUUUUCUCCCAGAAAUAACUUCAGUGGAAUUGCAUAAUGAAUGAAUGUGGUCCAGUUCAUUUUAUAAUUAUAUUUUGAAGAGCAUGGAAGUAGGGAAGAAUAGAGCCUUAUAUCAAUCUGGUUUAAAAAAACUCUGCCUUUGAUGUUUCUUUGAUUGAAAAACUACUCUGAUUUUUAUAGCAGCAUAGUAGGUGCCGAAGUUGCAUUUCCUUCAUCCACAACACCUGCUUUUCUCUGGCAUCUGUAGUGAUGUGCGCUGUCGAUACCAUUUUGCUCAUAAACUUUGACAGAUUUAGUAUAUAAUCUCUGCCCCCACAGACGGUCUUCAACUCUGCUGUCCACAUGGUGGAAUUAAUACCACACAGCUCGAAAAUUUGCCUUGAGCAUGUCCUUGUAAUAUUUGACUGGCCUCUCUCUCAGUCAUUCUCUGUGUUUUAAAUGGCCAUAUAGAGAUAGCUCGGAGCAGUAUUUAUCUGACGUAUGCAUUGAAUGCCCACACCAGCACAACUAAGCUCGAAGAAUCACUGGUCCAAUGCUUAGUAUUUUACUGUGAAUUUAAUUUUACAUUGGCUAUAGUAUCAGCCAAGUAUCCUCCAUGGAUAUUGUAUUGUUUGGCUAAUGAACUAGCAGAAAUUAAUUGAAAGUCUUUGUAUUUGGUUAUGGAUACAGAGUGAUUUUUCUUACAAUAAGGAAUUCAGCUGAGUUCUGGAGUACAAUGUAGCUCUUGUUCAUUUAGAAAGGCGCUCUCCUAAACUACUCUUAAGUCUUUAUUCCUUUAUAUAGCACCUUGUUAUAUAUUUACGCACAAAAAAAUCAAUGCUUCUGGUUUUCCAAAUGCAAACCUAUCUUCUGUAUUUGAUGAAACUCAUGCAUAUUCUUUCUGAAAACAACCUAAUUAAAAAAAAAGAGAACCCUCCCACAAGAAACUUACAAGAGAUUAUUAAUCGUAUUAUUAGUAUCAAUACAUAAUACUAGUGAUCAUAGGGUCUGAUGGAGGGAUUGUUUCCAUAAGAAAGUGUGAAGAAAAACAGUGCACAUCAGAUACUGUGUAUUUAUAAGCAAGGACUUUGAGAUACAAAUGUUGUCUGUAAAGGAAAGGUCAGUGGCUUUUUAACUCCAAUUUUCAGAGAGGACUAGAAGUCCUGACGUGCACAGUUCAGGUAUUUUGCAUCAUAAUUCAGUAUGUAAGUUCUUAUGAAGGAGGAAGGAUACCUCCUUGCAGUCUCUUUUCACCAUACUUGGAAAACACAGUAUUAUGUAGGUACAAAAAGCAUUCCUUAUCGCUAGUAAAUCUUGCUCAAUAGAUUAAUUGUGUGCUUGUUUUUGCUAACAAUAGAAGUAAUAUGCACUAGAUGGAGAAUAUGGAAAAAAAAAAUUAUGAGCUCCAGGUGUCACACAGACAACAUAAAGGGUGGCCCAACCCACUGAUACCUGCUACUUAUCUAUUACCUUGUUUUAAUAACAACUGUGUAUUUUUCUUCCCAUAUAAGUGACCUGGAGGGGAAACUCUUUUCCUAAUGGGUAGCAGAUUAGAAACUGAAUAAUGAUUCCAAUUGAAUUGCUUUGAGAAACUUGCUUUCUAACUUGUGAAACUGAUAUUUCUUCUAUAUAAUCUUUGUUUUAGUCAUCUCACCUUAAACAAACAGAAGCAGCAUGUGAAAAUAUUCAUUACUUUCAGGCAGCUUUCUAUUGGUACAAUGUUUGUAGAAUGAAAUAAGCUUAACUAUGACGGAUACUUUUUUGUAUUAUGAUAAACUUCUCUGCAUUAGUGAAUUUAGUGUAUACUUAGAAAAAUGCCUAUUCUAGAUAUACAGCUAUUUCAUUGAUAAGAAAAAAUACUUGUUUAAUAGAUUCUGUGGUUUUGUGCCAUUAGCGUCUUGUACUGGUGAGUACCUUCAUGCGAAGAAUUUGUCUUCCUUCCUGCUUUUUUUUCCCUAUUGUUUUCUCUGAGGGAAAAAGUAGAAAACAAUAAAAAAUAAAAGGCUGGGGAUUUUUCUGAAGGAAAUCCACAGAUAUACAUUUCACAGUAAGCCAGGGUAGCCAGUUUAUUUUAUUAUUUGCAUAUGAGAUCACACUGGUGAGUGUGUAUAUAUUUAUGCAUGUAUGUAUGUUUGUAUUUUAACAAGGAUUAUAAAUACAAUGCAGUGGUUAGUGCCCCAGUGCUUAGGAAGGGAGUUACUGAGAGCAGGUAUCCCCUAAGCCACAUAGUUGUGUCUGCACUUGUUUAGCCAGUUAAGCCCAAGUAUCUGAGACAUUCUCAAAAGAAAAGUGUUUACAGUUUGGUUUUGUAACUGGGAUUAUUUCAUGCUUUGUUAGUUUAGGGGGCAAGCAUGCCUCUGAUCACAUGCCUUGUCUGCCUUUCUGGCUGAUUUCCCAUCUCUGUGAGUCGCCGGAGGCUAUUCUACCUCAGGUGAACGUCAGAUGUUGAGGUUGCCUUUGAAUUUCAGCAUUACCAUGCUUCAGAUCACAGAGUCCUCAUCUACUGUGACAUGGAAAGAAGUUACUUUCUAAUCUGAAUUAAGACAGCUUGUGUAUGCUUUGAGCUUUAAUUAUUUCAGUCAUAUUGAAGUCAUUAAGAAGAUGUAGCCUAAAGUUUUAUACGCAUAUGCAGGCAAAUGUUUGCAGAAUCAGAUUCUAAUUUCACAAAUGAGUUUUGUGGUGUGGUUUAAGAGACAGGCAGAGAGACAGAGUUUUAUAGAUUGAGGGGAAGGUAGAAAAAGGAACAGGUUUCUGAGAAAAGGAAAGAUUAAUAGAAACCAUAUGUAGGACUCCAAGUGAUUCAGCGGGGUCUAGACAGUUGCCCUUUCUUUCUGUUCUAAUGUCUUGUGCAACAAUGACAGAAACCAUAUGUGAACAGCAAAUAAACUCAUCCUAACUCAUGUCUUCUCUGUUUAAAGUUUAAUCAGUCUAUUUUAGGUGAAAGGAGAUGAGUGUUCAAGAGUGAAAACAUCACAAAAACAGUAUAUCAGCAUUUUAUACCAUGAGAUACAUUAUGAAACUCAAAUCAUAUUGUGUGUAUUAAUUCCUUAAUGAAACAGAGUGAAAACAGUAACUGCAAAAUUUCUAGCUAUCUUGUGAUGGGUGCAUCUCACUAUUAAUUAUUCCAUAUCCUAACCUUUCCCUGUGUUCUGAUUUUCUUUACUUUGUACAUUCCCUGUUUUUUUGACCUGAUAUAUUUCCUCAUCUUUGUUUCUUUUUGUCAUCUUCCUGUCUGUUUUUUUCAGCAUGCGUUCUCCUAUUUGCUUUUGUGAUUGCAUCUUCAUCAACUGAGGUGAGAGAUGUUUUCUGGUAGACCGGAGUGGUAAUAUAAUGUAAUUAUAUUUCAUACUUCAAUAUUUCCAGAUUAUUGCAAUUAUGUUAGCUAGUUAACACCAUUUUUAACAGUAGUAAGGAAAAGUAAGAGGUAAGUAAGGUGGAGAAUGUUGUUCUUACUAGUACCAUAAAAUUUUAGGUGCAUGAAAUGGAAAUUAUACUAUGUGGGGGAUAGGGGGGCGUGAAAUUACUGUGGCCUUUUUCUGGAAAAACUACAUUACAAAAUGUUGAAUGCUAUCAGGAGAAACUGUCUCCUUAAUUAGCAUCAAGUUUUGUAUAUCUUGCCAGGACUAACAUUUUGUCAGUUGGUAAAUAAAUAUUUGACUCAAAUGUAAUCAGUGACUUCAGCAUUUACACAUUGUAUAGCUGUCAUAAUAUUGGAAAAUUAGAUUUUUUUUCAUAGGCCACUGCAAGCCUUAAUGUUCAAUCUGUCACAAAGCUUAGGUAGGUCCUGACAUGCUUUUAAAGAUUUAUAAUGUAACAGUACAUUUAGUAAUGGUAAUAAACUGACUUAAUAUUAUAUUUCACUGCAAUGUGCAUUUCCAAGGAGUUAUAAGUUAUUCAGUAACUAUGUAAAGAAAACACACAGAUAACAAGACAUGAGAUCUCUGAAUGGGUCUCACUUUUAAAUCAAAUUAUGUGCUAUAUUAAGAAAUGGCAGUAUUAACUGAAGCAGAGCAGAAUAAUUCUGUCAAGGCAAACGCUUUAAGAGCUGAAGUAUUUUCCUUUGUAUCGUCACGAUUUUUGUGUAUUGGUCUAAACAGCUAGAAGACUUUCUGUUCAGUGGGUUUGUACACAUUCAGUUUUCUUAGGAUUUAUAAUUGAUCCAGCUUUGCACUGCCAAGUAUGUGGAAGUUCAAUUAAUUGCAAACAAAUAUAAAAAUACUUUCAUAAUAAAAUAACUUUCUCAGUUUUAUUACUGGGAUUUGGAGCUUGACUCUAAAGACACACCACAAGACAGAACACUGAACCUUUGCACUGGCUUAAGAAUCCCUUGUCCUGCCUUUGUGCUGUAUCUGUGCUCACACUGUGGUGUGAUAUUCCCUCCUUUGGGCUGGAACAAUCUCUGCAGAAUCGUGUUCUAAACUGCAUUGGGGAUUUGCUGUGUUGCAUUUAGAACCUGAUCUGGGUGACAACAAGGCCUUACAGUGUAAAGCAAAAAGAAUGCAAUCCAUGAAGAAGGACAAAAAUAGCAAAUUGUUAAAUCAGAGUUGUCACUAACCGUGUCUGUUGGGGAUCCGCUUCCUUACCCAACAGCAGAAGAAUCCUGCUACAGCCCGAGGUGGACUUUCACACUUCUGCAAUAUUGUAUAUGUCAUGUUAGGUGUCUGUAGUUCCAGAAAGCAUCAGUAGUUUUCAUAACAACCACUUCCAAUUUUUGGGAAAUAAUGGUUUGUAUUUAUUGCAAGGCUGUGUUUCAAUAACUGAGCUUACUAAUUGAUUAUAGAUUUCAAAACACUUAUUCAAGGGAACAGUACUGCUGAAAUAAAUUUUGUUACCAACUAAGUAAUUCUGUCAAUUCAGAACAAAGAAUAAAGUCCAAGAAACUACAGAAGAUUAUUCUCCCUUAACACUCUGAAACGUUUUUUAUUAUAAUAAGAUAAACUUUUUUUCCCCAAAGCCAAAGUCCCUCAUUUCUAUGGACUGUUUGUCUGUACUGCCUAUAUUCUCCUUUCUCCUGAUAAAAAUUUCCAGAAAGUUAUGCAUAUUCUUAUUAAAUGUGUGAUCAGACCCUAAUAUUUAUUUCAGGUAAUGGAAAAAGUAGCUGGAAAUUGGAUUUCUGUAUUUUGCAAAACACACAGAAAAUAAAUUAUCCUCUAACUUAUUCUAAUCUUUGAGCACUAACCUUUAUAUUAUUUACAGUUCAGGAAUGUUCUAAAAAAUCUCAUUUAAUGAAUGAAAUUAUUUUUGAGAGGUUUAUUGUCAGUUGCCUUGCUGCUUGCUUGGGCAGCUCAUGUCAGCUCCACUUUCUGUCUAUAAAGGCUUCAAAACUAGAACUUUGAUUUUCUCAAAGGACUUCAGAUGUCUUUGGGAAAAGUCUACAUUUUCUGUUGAAAAUAAUAAUCAGGUAAGUUCUAUUAAAAAAACCCUUUGAACAUAUUUGACUCUGCCUGUUUCCCCAGGACAGUAUAUGAUAGAAAUUGUGAAAAGGAGUCUUUAAAUAUCUGAUAACUGAUGCUACUGAGAAGCCUAGUAAGCUGUCAGUCCAAGAAUAGUUCAGGGCCCUACAAUUAACUUUAAAGUAAAAUUCAAUUAUGUUGAUAUCUGUACCAUUUUUUUGUUGAUUAAAAAAACAUCAACUAUAAACUCUGUUUUGGAAUAAGUAAUAUUUCACUUAUUUUCUUCAAAGAGUUGAAGAUUACUAAUUUUAAGCAAGUCAAUAUUUUUGGCAGUGUUAAUAUUAUAUAAACCAAUAGAGUAAGCUAGACUGUUCUAACCAAGAAUGGGUAACUAGGGCCUUUGAAAAAAUCUCAUAUGCAGUGAGAUGAGAAGACUGGGACUGUUUAUGUUACAGAAAGAAUACAUAAGAGGGGUCACAAUAAAAUAAAUACAAGUAAGUAAUUGUGUGCCUAGGUAGGUGAGUUUAUUUGUUCAGGGCUCACUCAUUCUAACAAAAUAAAGCGUCAAAUCAAUUUGAAGUAUAUGAAUCAAAGUAAUUUCUUUACAUUCCAAAAUAAUGUGUUGAAUUCAGUCUACUCAAAAUAAAACAGAGUCUGUUUCUCAAGAUUCAAGAAAGGGAAUGGACACAGGGUAAUUAUAACAUCUGAAUUUCUAAUCUCACAUAAUAUCCAGUACUUCCACAGUACAAUUAAUCCUGUUACAGAAAAUAUCUUACAGGAAUGUAUUUUAUCACUGCUUAAGCAAAGAAAAACUGAGACAAAGAGAAGUAUAGAGACUUCUCUUCACCAGUUCUGUUUUUACCUGACUUGAUAUUAACCCCAGGCCCUGAGAUCUAAUCUGGUAUUUUCUCCAUUGAUUUUGGAGAUAUAUGAACACUGUGCUUCAAAAAACAACAUCUCACCAGUGUUGUCUGGAAGGAACAUGUAAAUGGAGCAGUUCAACUUGGAACAAUCUGAGCUUUUCUUGGAGAUAUCUGCUGUUGCGUGGUGUCACAGAAGUAAAAUGUAUUAUAGAGGCCCACUGCAGUGUUUGUGCAUGGUAGUCUUGUGCUACUGAGCUUAGGAAAAAAAACAAUACAGAAAAAACCCUCCUUGUUACUACUCCAAAUAACAGUAAUAUGUCCAGUUCCAAAUGUUCUUUCAAGGUCUGGUAUCUUUAAAAGUAACAUAUGCCAGCUGGUCUAAAAGUAGGCACUUUGUACCUCACUGAUGCUUUGUCUUUUUUUUUCUAUCUGUUAGGAAAUUCUUUGUUUUCUUUUUCAGCUUCUGUCCCCUUCUUUAAGUAAUAUUUUAAUUUAAUUUUGCAGUAUAAUAGCUUCCAAAAAUUGAGACAUUUUCUUCAGAUUGGUAGUUCAGUUGUUUAAUUUUCCUAUGCUACUGUGUUUAUGCAAGUUCAGUAAUAGGGAUUGAAAUUGUGUAAGAUGGAGUUAGAGACAAGAAAAGCAGAGUGCUGAGCAGCCAAGAAAGUCAGCUGAGAAUAAGGCAUAAUAAACUAGGAAAAAUUAGAGUGAGGAAAAAGGAAAUAAAAAGGGAAUUAGAAGAGUUUGUUGUGAUGGAAGACAAAAGUGGAGAAGACAGAGAAGCAAACAACAAGCAAUCAAAAACAUUGGCAUUGGUAAAGAAAGCAUUUAACAUUCUUUGUCCAGCAAAUGUUUGCUGGUGUAUUAAGUAGUCCAGAUGACAUAAUGUGUGACAAAUCUGGCCUCCUCAAACAUCCCAUAGCCAUAGAAAGGGAUAAAGUAGUCCAGAUCAAUGCUGGUAGAUUGAUACCGUAUUUUCCUGCCAGAGUUAAUCACAGGCUCUCUUUUUAUUCACUUUUCUCCCUUCCGUGUUAACAAUGGCUAGCAAAAAUGUUUUAUACUUACCUUGUUUUUAGAAGGGAGCAAAAACCCUCUUUAUUUUACGCUUUCUUUUGCUGAUCACACAGAGCAUAUCUUAGUGUGGCAAUAUUCUCUUCCUCUGAAUGGUUACUGUGAACAAUUAUACACCUAAUCAUUAAUUGUUCUCUUUAAAUUGCACUUUAAUUAGCAGGUUUCACCGAUAGUUUUAGGUUUCCUCGAUUUGUUCCUUGAUAUCAGUAGUGACUGAGUCCUAAAUGUCAUCUGUAACUAGGGAACUCAAACACACCACUCAAACUCCCACUCUGCUUCCCAAAUUGAGCUCUUGUUUUUCACUGUGCAUUUGUACAGUUGGUGACUUACCUUAUUUGUUAAUGCAGAAGGCUGACAGAGCUUAAGAUAGUCAUAAUAUUUCUCAAGAUGUUGCUGCAAUUCAAUGGAAACAAAUGCAGUGAUCUAUCAGGACACCAGACUACCAUGUUUUCAUAUGCCAGGAUGACUACUGGGUCAUCUCAGCUAUGCAUUUAUUUAUCAUUGCCUUCGACAUUCCCCUUUUAAAACAGAAAUUAAGAGUGAUUAAUGCAUUAAGUGCUGUAACUUGAAUAAAACUGCCUGUAAUACAGACAAGAUUGAGGAGAAACAAAAGGAAAUCAUUGUUUGGUGUCUGACAAGAGCAGACAGUGGAGCCUAAAUAUGCAAGACAAAUAGUUAAGCUGAGCUAGAAAGAUAAGCUUAAGCAAAUUCAAAAGAACCAAGCCCAUAGUUACAGUGUAAAGCACUGGAUGCAAAUUCAAGCAUUUUUAUAAAAUGAUGAAAUUAUAUCAUUGUGUCUGGAAAGCAGCCAGCAGUAUUCUGCACAUGUUGGAAAGGAGAAGAAGUAAUCCCUGACUAAGGAUUGCAAGAGUCUCUUUAUGAACAUUGAACCAUGUAGGGAAAAAAAAAUCGAAUUCAGAGCCAAGGCCAAGCUCUCCUGUACUUGGUUUUAUUCUAUAUGUAGUAAGAGAUAGAUAAAAAACCCCAAUAUUUUCAUCUAUGUUUGGAAGAUAUCCUGCUUGGAACAUUAAAAAGACACAAAAAAUUGAAAUGUAUGAGAAUGCCCUAUACACCUCUAUGAUCUAAAACCCCGGAGAGAUCUGUAUUAAUGUUUUUUCUUCUCAAAUACAGUGUUAAAAAUCAAGGAGACAAGUCUUGUGGUCUGACUGCUGCUUUAGCUACCUAAAUCCCAAAAUUGUAUACCUCUACUGCCAGCAGUAAAGUCCCCUUGAUCUCCGAAUUGUCAUUCUUAAAUCUUACCAAUGUCACAAGUUAGGUGACACUCUCAGACAUAAACCUUCUGUUCCUUUGUCCCUAAAACAGAAUAAAGUAGCAACAUAGCAAAUAUAAUGUAUAUUAAAAAAGAAUAAAGAACUAAAGAAAAGUAAUUUUGUCAUAAUUAAGGAAGACUGCAAAUUAAAACAUUUGGGAUAUGUCUAGCCAAGUUGAAGAUGAAUUUGUGCCUUAGAAUGUUGUAAACUAUGUGUCAUACAGUGGAGCACAGGAGGGAUAGUCACUUGUAUGUAUCUACAUUGUUUUUUGAACAUUUCUUUGAUGUAUAAACUAGCAGGUUGGUUGUUUUGUGGUUUGUGGUGUUUUGUUUGUUUUUUUUUUUUUUUUUUUUAGCAGUCUCUGGUCUGCAGCAGCAAAGUAUUUUAUAAAAGAAAGAAAAAUGUAAACUUUCUGUUCAAUUUUCAUUCAGAGUUCUGAUGCUGGGAGGUGCAGGUUACUGAAUACAGCAGUUAUUUCAACAUGUUUAGCAUUUUGUCCUUGAGCAAUGGUUAGCAUGUAAUGCUAGCUUAUUUACUGUAUUUUUCAUUUACAGUGCUUAACUUUUUCUUCCCCCAUGAUACCACUUAAGUGGCAUUAAUUUGAAGUUAAUCAGACUACUAGUGAAGACUUCAUAUUGGCAUGUAACAUACCCGUGACAGGAGGAAAAUUUGAUUUACAUUUCUACUGCUACCUGUAAUGAGAUAGGAAAAUUCGGUUUGUAUUUCAGCUUGAAGCUGGUUGGGACAUAGUGACACUGAAGACCAAUUACUGUUGGAGUUCUUGUUGCGAUGUUUAGUUUCUUAGCCUCCGAGAGAGUGAAAAGAAAGAAAAAAAAGUAAUAAUUAGUUUUAUAACUGUCAUAGUGCAUUUGUUAGCUUGAUCAGUCAGAAACAAGAAAACAAAUUAAGUAGGAAGAGAUCCUAAAUUAGGGAGAAGGCACUAUUAACAUAAAUGUGGACAUGCAGCAUCAUCUUCUGUGUUUCCUUUUCUAGGCAGUUAGUGGUACUACAUUAAACCAGUUUGUUUCUGCAACAGAAAUGCUAAAUAAUAACAGAACAAAAAACUUCUAUUUAACCAGUCCUCACAUGCUAUAAAUGCACAGACAUUUCAACUGUUGUAAUUUGCUGGCAAGCAAACAUAUAUUACAGCUUGGAAGAUUUCUUUGUUCUAGUAUUUUCAAGCACAUUUAUCAGGCAUCUUUAAGCAACCUAUUAUAACAUGCCUGUGAUCUACUGAUGAAAUUAUACUAAUUGUCCUUUUUGACAGAUGAUCUGUCAACCUCAUACAUUAUAUUCAGUUCUGAAAUGAAUUUGUCUUGCUAUGGCCAGGACUAGACUGGCCGUAGUUUAACUGGAAGUCUUAAUAGCUGAACUUCCUGCAUGCAACAUUAUAAUCACUCUAGCAUUUGUCUUUCUCUGACAUAAUAUUUCUAGAAAUGAAUAAUAUUUUGUAUUAUAUCUGUAUCUCUUUUCAUGUCUGUCAAGGAAAAUAUCUGCAUUUCUUUCUUCUGAAACCCACACUGUUUUUUUCUAAUUUAUUUCAUUUACAGCGCUGCAUUACUUGGAGAUUUUUGCUGUUACCAACAGGUCUUUUGUAAAUCCAAAAUAAAUAUUUCUUUUUUCUUUUGGAAGUUGUGGUUUACAUGUUUGUUUUCAAAGAUUAAUAAAGCAGAAAACUUAGCAAGAAUGUUUGUAGCAAAAGCACUAGAACUUGUUAAUGACUGGGGAAGGAUAUAGUUGCAGAGAUGGAGUACUGCUUCACCACGGGAAGAUCAUUUACUUAAUCCUGUGCUCCUGGUCUGAUUUAGUGACUGAAGAUUGAGUUUUGAACAGGCGUAUGGAGCCAAAGGCAAAGUGUGACCAAACAUCAAACUGCAGAGGUGUAGUCAGAGAUAUUUGUGACCUUUCCUGCAGGCAGCUUUUCUUCUCCUGAACUCAAUAACAUGGACUCAGGGUCUUUCUGCUGACUCUGUAUAAUUAGUCUUUGUUCUGAGAGAGCAGAAUCUAUUUCACAGCUUCUCUCUUCAAGCCUCAGCGAAAAUGAUUUCUUUUUUUUCCUGUUGCUGUUGGUUUUUUCAGUGGUGGUGGUGUGUUUUUGUUGUUUUCUUCUGGGGGUUGGUUGGUUUUGUUGUUGUUGUUUGCUUUUGGUUUUUUACCUAUUGUUAUAACAUAAGGGGAAAGCUAGAUGUUGAGAUGUUGCCUGUGAUGCAGGUUUUCUUGUGUGGGCCAGAGUAACACCAUCCUAGCUCUAAGAAAAUCAGCAUCAAGAUAUUCCAGAGCUUCUCUGAAUGUCGUUCUCUCUCACGUUUGAUCCCCUGUUCAGCCCUGGCACUUACUGAGCUUUUAACUGACAAACAGUUUCAUGUGAGUAAAAUCCAAUCUUGUAUUCAUUCACUGUACAGCUCAAAGUGCAAGCGGUCAUCUCAGCCCAUCAGUUGGUUUUGCCCUCUCCCUCUUGUCAGCAGUGCCGUCUGUCAGCGGGUCACCUCCUGGUCCCCAAGGAGCAAAGUGCCCUCUGUUAGCUCUGCUGGCCUGUCAGUUUAGUCACUGGACUCUUUGUAGACUUUCAUUGAAAGAACAGUACCUGAAUAUUUCCCCUUUAUCUGCAAUUUCCAGUCUGUAUCAAACAUGAAAUCUUGACAGAUGGAGUCCAAUCUGCCACAUGCUUAGCUGACAGGAGCGAGGAAUAACUGACUCUCCAAAUGACUCUGAGUGAUGCUGUGUGAGAUUACCAGUGUGGGAAGUGAAGGAUUUGACCAGAGGGUUGCUGAGAAGGAAAAAAAGGCAAAACCAAGAUUUUUCUAGCAGAAUUUUGUCUGUGUGAGUGCAUGUCUCUCCUGAGCAGCCUGAGGCCAUGAGAUGGAAAUGGGCCACUGCGUCAUCCACUGAGCAAGAACGAGCUGUAUUCUGGCAGAAUUACCUACCAGAAAGGAAAAAUCUGCUGGCAUGAGGAGUUGAAGAAAUGGAAAUACAUGAAGCCAUGAAUUUUCUAAUAAUUUUCAACAACUUGUUUAGUUUGGCUGAACCUCCUGUGAAAACGAACCAAAGAGAAAGCUUACAGAUGUCAUUGGCUCAUUAUCUAGCAUUUUAGGAGUGAUAUGAGGAAACCAAUAGCAACUCGAGACUGUCACAGAUGCAGGUGGAAUAUACUACGCUGAUGUUCAUAAAGAAUGUGAGGUGAAACUGCUCUUCCACUGGACAUGUACUGGUCAUUCUGGGAACAGAUCAUCUUAUUGCCUCCUGGCAGUCAACCAUAUUCUAAAUAAUCUAAUAUUCAUCACUUCAUGGGAAGAAAUCUGAUAUACGGAGCUAAUUAGCUUAAUUUACCUAGAGUGUGAGGCCUGGCUUCAACCUCUUGCAAAGCAGAGCAAAUCUGAAAGAAGAAACUGAAAGCUUCCCUUGAAAGAGAGAGCAUCCAGGACUUGGCACAUUCACCUGAAAUAGGGCAGGGGGACUGAUGGGAACUUGGAUAAGCCUUUUUCUCAGGAAUUCUCAGUUUCCUCUAUGUGACUCCGUACCGCGAAGCUCAAAAGACAACAUGGUUAUCAGUUAACCAACAGCACUGCAAUGGAGGGUAUUGAUUUACAGAUGGUCCCAUAAUCUCUCUAAUGGAGUUUUUGAAAACACUUACGUGCAAAGCAAUUUUUAACAAAAAAAUAUACUGUAUCAGAUCAGCUGAAUUUCUUCACGUCCAUUCUUUAAUGCUUAUUCCUUUUGGAAAAUGUAACGACAGAGGGAGAUGACAGGAUCUCUUAUGUAAUCAGAAUUAAAACAUACAUAUUAUAAAAAAAAAUAAUGAAAAUUUAUGUUUUGUUCUUUUUGAAUAGUAUAUUUCGUUCUCAGUUUUACAAACAGCUGAACUAUGCAAUCUAGUAGUAGAUCAUUUGGUGGAAACUAGUCUGCUCAAUAUUUACCUCAAAGUCUGCAGAAAGUGCAUUUAUUAAUGGUUUUCUAGCUGUGUUGGUUUUUUGUUUUGUUUGUUUGUAUUGGGCUGGCUGUGGUGGGAGGCUUUUUUGUUUGUUGUUGGAUUUUUUUUUUAAAUCCAUUUAUUAUCAUCAUUUCUACAAGCAUUCUCUUCCUGUCCCUUGUUUUGCAUCACAAUGAACAAAAAAUAACAUUAAAAAAAAUAACCAUUGCAUUUUUCUCUCUUGAAAUGUCCACAAUUUGAAUGAAUAAUCGUUCCAAAUUAUCCUCAAAAGGUCAAUAGGAUGGCAAUGUUGCAUGAAACUGUAUCAGACAACAUUGACUCAUCAUUAACUUUUUGUUCCAGCUCUAUUGUGUUUAAAUCUCCAAACCAAAGUUGUGGGUAUAAUUCUUUUUAUUGUUUUGGUCAAGUGAGAGGAUUUUUGUCUGUAAACGUUCAAAAAAAAACCUUGUAUGUGGUUGCCAAGCCAAGUUUCUGCUUCGCAUUUAUGAGUUAAUGAAAGAGCUGCUGUAGCUUUAUAGCUGGAUUUCAAAAUCAAGAAUCUGGAGAAGUAUAUUGCAAAUGUAAUGUUACCCAAGCCUCUCUUAAUGAGAAUUUAAAUAAAGAAUGACCCAGUGGAAUUGCAGCAGUGUAUAGUGCUGCCAUUUAGCAGAAUGGAAUCAUGUCUCAAGCCUAGUGCACGUUAAAAGUAAGGAUCUGAAGCUUUUGGUCUCAAGGGACAAAGUAAGUGCUUUUCAGUUUCUCAAGUCAUUCACUGUUGACUGAAGUAGCCUUCUAUAGAUAGAUGCUAACAGAAAGACCAAAAAUAUUAAAAUAUGCCUAAUAUACUGAAAAAAUUAUAAGCUUUGUUUCCAUUUUGCUUUUUAGUCAGUGAAGAAAUAAUCACAAGAUUAAUGUAUUUUUAGAGGACAAUGGCUAUGCACAGAAUCUGCAGUUCCUUUUAACUCCACGGUUAAAUGCCUGAAGUUUGAUGGAUAACAGUGUUUCGCUAUUAUUCCUACUUACUGCCAGCUUAUGAAACAAGUGUUACAUUAAUUGCUUUAGGAGAAAAUAUGAAAAUAAAGGGUAGUAUAAAAUGUAAAACAGUAUCUCAGACUUGUUGGCUUGGAAUCUCUUUUGACAUGGCUAAGUUUCCAUCUAUGUGUUUAUAUAACGUAAAACAUGAAAUGGAAAUAUAUGUGUCCCAAAAAUAAA